rnacentral:sRNA from 1 species
UCCCAGCUUGUUAGCGGCUUCUGCCCAUG